rnacentral:rRNA from 1 species
UACGAAGGGGGCUAGCGUUGCUCGGAAUCACUGGGCGUAAAGGGUGCGUAGGCGGGUCUUUAAGUCAGGGGUGAAAUCCUGGAGCUCAACUCCAGAACUGCCUUUGAUACUGAGGAUCUUGAGUUCGGGAGAGGUGAGUGGAACUGCGAGUGUAGAGGUGAAAUUCGUAGAUAUUCGCAAGAACACCAGUGGCGAAGGCGGCUCACUGGCCCGAUACUGACGCUGAGGUGCGAAAGCGUGGGGAGCAAACAGGAUUAGAAACC